GCUCUAGGCGAAGACCGCGGCCCCGUCCCCGCGCCUCCACCGCCUUCUUCCAGGAGGAGGGGCCGUGCGGCGCCUGCCCGGGGGCCCUCAGGCCGCAGGCGGGCGCGAGCUUCAGGGAACUUAGGGGGCUCCCGCCUCCCCGGCCACGCGAGCGGGAACAGUCUCCUCCACUCGGAGCGCCACUCAUCAUGCCUUACCUGGAUGAUGCAGAAGUCCCUGGAAACAGAAGGUCUCACCCUUCUUUAUCUUUCUCAUGGCUUUCCAAGGCUCUUUAUCAUGUUACUUUCCUGCUCAGAAUUCUUUAAUGACUUGCCUCAAUGACCAGAUACAUGUGAUCUACAGUCAGCCUUCCAGCCUCAUCAUUCCUCUUCCAUUUCCUCCCCAGAAACACUGUACUUUAUGAAGCUCCUCCAAGACGAAAAAUAAAUUCAAAUAUGGAAUAAAAAGCCCAAACUCAUGAAACUGGACUGACUUUGCUUCUUAAAAAUUCAACAUGCUGCAGCUGCAUGCUUAAACCUGGUUCAAACAGGAUGAUGAAAUAAAACAUUAUUAUUGUGGGAAUAUAACACUGUCUAAAUAAAUAGCCAACAUGAAAACUGUCUCUAAAACCCAUAGCAUCUGUAUGUGCAGACUGUAAGUAAGUUAUAUAAUUCCUCCACUAUUCUGUAACAUGGCCAAUUCAGAAUGUCUUACCAUUAAUCUUGAAGACAUUUAAAGAUGUUCACUUUUCUAACUCUUCCCUUUGAAAAUAUAUUUGAACCUUAUUUGCAAUAAAAAUCUCAUAAUAUUGUAUUA
rnacentral:lncRNA from 10 species